rnacentral:tRNA from 1 species
UCAGCUGGUGGUGCAGGAUCACGCGGCGUAUUGGAAGUACGCUGCCACGAAGCCCCGUUCGUCUUAGAACAUGGCCAAGUGGUUGGGC